UGUGAAAUUCACUGCAUUAAGUCGCUCUGGAUAAGAGCGUCUGCUAAAUGACUUAAC
rfam:Salmo salar isolate Sally breed double haploid chromosome ssa06, whole genome shotgun sequence.